rnacentral:tRNA from 16 species
GGACUAAAAUCCGUUGGCUUUAUAGACCAUGAGGGUUCAAGUCCCUCUACCCCCA